CACUACUAAGAUCAUUAGUGCUAACACUAACUUCUAAAAACUCAAGCUAUUAGAAAGAAACACUACAUCUAUAGCGACACUUUUAAAUGUCGGUACAGAUUAAAAAAAGUGCUACUGGCUAAAUUAUCGAUACUUUUAAAAAGUGUUGCUAUGUGGGGUCGUUAGGUAUAUAGUGACAGUUAAAGAGUGUUGGUAUAAUCUAAAAAGAGUGCUACUGAUUUACUAACAUUUAUUUAAGCAUAAGCAACCGCCAGAACUCUACCUCGUUGGCUGCAGUGGCGGAGGAUGAGGAGAGGGAAGGGCUCUUCGUCUAGGAUUUCAGUGGAUUGAGUGAGGGUAGAAGGGGAGAUAUAUGGUAAUCGAUUUUUCUCUUUUUUCUUUUCUUUUCUGUUUGCAACCGAGCCGAAUGGACUGGGUGGGGUGGGUUGAGUAGAGUAAUCUUUUAUUUUUGGUUGGAUUGGACUUUAUAUUUAGACAUUAGUAGAUUUUUUAAAAAAUUUUGGUAUAAAUGGAACACUUAUACAAAUGUGUCCGAAACAUGUGUCGUUAUAACCUAAUUCUGUUGUAGUGAAAGCAACAAUUUACUUAAAAU
rnacentral:lncRNA from 1 species